rnacentral:tRNA from 1 species
GCCGUCGUAGCUCAAUUGGAAGAGCAGCUCGCUUCGAACGAGCAGGUUGAUUGGGUUCAAGUCCCUCCGGCGGUACCA